rfam:Solanum tuberosum cultivar DM 1-3 516 R44 scf00051_60, whole genome shotgun sequence.
GGAGAAAAUAAGGAGCUCUCUCCGGUCCAGUCCGAGGCAGUCGAAGGUUAAAAACACAGCUGACGACUCGUUGAUUCUCAAGCACGUCAACAAACAUUUUUAGAAAUUGACGUGUUUGAGAUUCAACGAUGCGUGAGCUAUGUUUAGCUAGAGUUGUCACGUCUUGGACUGAAGGGAGCUCCCUAUUAUAUAUCC